rnacentral:tRNA from 1 species
AUUUAUAUAGUAUAAACAUUAUUUUUGAUUUCCAAUCAAAAGAUCUAACAAUUUUUAGUAUAAAUA